CCUGCUUCCCUGUUGGGACCAGACAUCACCACACUUGUGGCAAUUGCCAAGGAUCAACCUGCCACAACAGACUGUCCCAGGCUGGAAUCAGAAGAAGACAAAGAGAGAGAAAACUUAAGGAACUGGAGGAACUGCAGUAGUAAGAACCUAUCAUAGCCCAGCAACAUCAGCAUUUUAGUGUUGGUGCAUCUUGACUUCACAAUGCAACAAACUAAUGGCCCAUAGCAGAGGAAGGUGGAUCCCACAAAAACAGAGUAAAAAGAAAGGCAAUCAACACCUUCCCCAUAGCCAGUGCAGGGG